rnacentral:ncRNA from 1 species
UUAAAAGCUAUGAUUAGGGAAAGUAAGUAUUUUAACGUUUUUCAAAAGAGAGCUUCGGUAGCUGAAAAGAAGCAAAAAUGUAGAUACUGAAAAUGGCCUAUGAGCUGGGGGCUGAACGUAUAGUCAUCUAUACAAGUAAGUCACUUCCGAGUGUGGGGACUCGUUACCAAAACCAAAGUAUAAAAGCCUAUUUUACUGGGUGGAGUACUUAUAGAGGCUAUUUGUGUAAGCAAAUAGUAAACUAAGGUGGUACCGUGUUGAUAUUAAACCCAACGCCCUUAUU